rnacentral:rRNA from 1 species
GAUGAACGCUGGCGGCGUGCCUAAUACAUGCAAGUCGAGCGAACAGACGAGGAGCUUGCUCCUCUGACGUUAGCGGCGGACGGGUGAGUAACACGUGGAUAACCUACCUUUAAGACUGGGAUAACUUCGGGAAACCGGAGCUAAUACCGGAUAAUAUAUUGAACCGCAUGGUUCAAUAGUGAAAGACGGUUUUGCUGUCACUUAUAGAUGGAUCCGCGCCGCAUUAGCUAGUUGGUAAGGUAACGGCUUACCAAGGCAACGAUGCGUAGCCGACCUGAGAGGGUGAUCGGCCACACUGGAACUGAGACACGGUCCAGACUCCUACGGGAGGCAGCAGUAGGGAAUCUUCCGCAAUGGGCGAAAGCCUGACGGAGCAACGCCGCGUGAGUGAUGAAGGUCUUCGGAUCGUAAAACUCUGUUAUUAGGGAAGAACAAAUGUAUAAGUAACUAUGCACGUCUUGACGGUACCUAAUCAGAAAGCCACGGCUAACUACGUG